AUUUUCAAUAACUAUCGAGACUUCAGGAAAGUUACGUACCUAAGUUUUAGAUUUCAGUAAUUAUUAGUUUAAUUUGAGAUUUGGAAUUUAAUUUAUCUGCGAGAAUUGUGUCCGGAUUCUCGAACUUCCCGUGGGAUUGGAACAACAGAAACCUCUCUUGGGAUUGAAAAAUAUCAAGAAGUACUUCCUUGAGAUACAGAAUUUGGAAUAGUACGUACGUUUAAACUACUUUAGUUCCUGAAUCUGAAAGAAUUCCUGCGUAAUACCUGGCGUUAUCACAUCAACUUCGUUGAAUGGGGAUUGGAGUACUAUAGCUUCCUGAUAAGAUCUGGUGUUCAGAAGGCUGAAAAUAAUUUACAGAAGAGGUUCCAUCAUAAUACCAGAGUAAUUCAUUCAAAACCGAUUUGAGUUAAGUUUUUAUUUCAUUAUUUGUUUAGAGUGAAAAGGAUCGAUCUUUGUACAUUUCAUGUAUAUUUCAAUUUUAUCAAAUUUGUAAAAACCUGGUUGGGAGUUGUGUUGCCAAAUAAGCCAAACCACCCCUAGAAAUUAGUCUUGAGAGUCUCAUGGGCAAUUGUAACGUUGCAAUGUGUAUAUAUCACUACUUAAAUUCAGAACCUGUUCCACUAUUAGCUGAUAAACCACAUCUGGAAUCACACAAUAUUUAAUUUUUUUUCUGAAUUAGUGUUUUGAAUGAUAUUGAAUAAUGACAAAUUAAUAAAUU